GCUCACAACACUUGCUUUUUCUUUCUAUAGCUUUUUCUCCCUUUGCUUGGAAAAUAAUGACUCCCGUAAGAAUCCAUGGUUUCUUUAGUGAGUACCCCACACGUGUUUUCUUUUUGAAUACCUUUCAUUACAUUUCUUUCACCGAAGGAUCCAAGAAAGCUCACAACACUUGCUUUUUCUUUCUAUAGCCUUUUCUCCCUUUGCUUGGAAAAUAAUGACUCCCGUAAGAAUCCAUGGUUUCUUUAGUGAGUACCCCACACGUGUUUUCUUUUUGAAUACCUUUAAUAGACAAUUUGUUGCUUGCAGGAAUAAUUGCCAUGCACAUCAUGAUGUGGAUCGCACAUGACCAAAAGAGGCCAGAGACACUCAAUUGGGUCAACUCAGUGUUAAGAACGUGUGACGCACAUAACACAAGGAAGAAUGGAUGUUCGUUCCCAUGGAGAAGCUUGGGAAUCACAUGAUUUACUUCUCCGCGUUUAUCACGUAAGCUUUGAUGUAGUCGUUCAGUAUAAUUCCCAUGGAGAAGAUAAGAAGCUUCUCCGCGUUUAUCACGUAAUCUAAUAUUGAAUUAACUUUAAAAUCAUAUGAAAAGAUUAAUAAUUUUGAUAAAUAUUAGACGAGAAGUGUUGUUUCCCUAAAGACAAAGGUCCGCCGCACCAAGCCUCUGUUUCUCUAGCCCGACACCCUCCUUUUCUCUCUCUCUUGAUCUGCACCUUCACUCACCGUGGAACGUCCACCUCCUGUUCUCAAUUUUUUACGCUGGAAAGAAAUUUUAUGGGGUUGUAUUCUCGCAAUUCGUCUCGGGAUUAAAAAAUGGGGAAUAUUUAUGAUUUGUUUGAUCUAAAGGGGAAUAUUAAGAGCUGUUUAUGUGGAGUAUUUGAGACUCUUUAGGCAAACAAGUCUCUGGCUUCUAUUGGAUGUGGUAUAAGUUGAUGCUAUUGAAUCAUUGAUGGGAAGGUUUCUUUACCUAUCAUAAAAAAAUAAAUAAAUAAAUAAAAAUGAAAAGAAAAAAAAAAACAAGGGUUUCUGGUACAAAAGUUUAGAAGCUGUUUCGCGGAACUAGAGUUUACAAUCUAAUCUUAACUUGCUAUGCUCAUUUUAACUUGCUAAAUUGACUAAAAUACUUGCAUCUAGUCAAUGCAGUGCUCAUAAGGCACGCAGGAACCAUUGCGUAAAAAGAAGUGCUAAAUCAUAUUAUCAUUGUUUCUUAAGGAUUCUAUAGUGUCUAUAGGUCUAGGUGAUACGAGACCACAAAGGGAAUGUGUUGAGAUUCUUUCAACUUGAAAACCAUUAAGGAAGACAGCUUGAAAUCUCUGCGUGGUGUAUUACCAUUCCUUUAUUGUUUAAGUUUCUAGACUUCCCAUUCUGUAAUUUAGAAACAUUUUUUCUUUUGUAAAUACAUUCUUAGAUAAAAAGCUAAAUGCCUUACUUGCCUUUCCAUUCUGUAAUUUAGAAACAUUUUCUCUUCUGGAAAUACAUUCUUACAUAAAAAAGUUCACUGCAUUACUUGCUUCCCACAGUUUAUUUAUCCUCACUAACAUGUUAGUAUUGCAGUUUCUCCACCUCUCAGUGUCUUUCUCACCGUUUUUGCUUCUGUGCAUGGAAGAUUACAUGUUGAACCUUGACCAAAGUAGUCCAUCCUGUCUGGAUUUGAUUCAAGAACUGCAUAUAUUUAUAUUGUUUGGAAUUGUUCACUGGAUAAGGAUUGUUUGUGGAAGUCAAACUUCUGGUUGUCAAAAAAUAUAUAAAACUGAAAAGUGAGAUGAGAUGCAACAGAAAUGUUUUUUUUUCCCCUGGGUUAGACUUAUUGAUUUAUGUAGCUAGUUGGAAAGUACUAUAAUGGUUUGAAUAAAGAGAGAAAUACAGGAGUAUUUUGUGCUAAGGUGUUUUGGUUGGUCAAGUUUCGCUUCAAGGAGUUUGUGCUGUUGUAAAUAGGAUUAGUUAUUCAUUGUCCAAAGAAAAACAAGAAUUAAAUGAUAUUCUGGAGGAGAAUUUCAGUUGGAAAAUGUAUGAGCUGCAAUAGUCUAAACAUCAUUGAAAAAUGCAUUAGGAAUUAAGCUUAUCAUUUCUUGAAAAAUUUGGAAUUAAAGAUGUUUAUGAUUGUUCUCAAUUAUGAGAUCAUUUGCUAGGUUGAAGAACAGAAACCCAAGAAGAAGGCUCAUAGUGAAAAGGAGCCCCGGAUGAAGCACCAUCAUAGCUGUUUAAAGAAUCAAAUGUAUUCAUCAUCCAGGAAACAAUCAGAUUUAGAAAAUGUCACUGCAGAAGGGGAAAAGGGGAAGACUAGUAGACAGAAAUCUUGAUGUUGUAGUAUAGCCUCAUAAAUUGAGCAAAUGGAAUUAAAGUCUAAAAUAGCAUGUGUUAAAGUAGAAAAAGAUUCAGAAAGUUAGUUAUUUUCUGUUAUUGUCUUUCAUUAGUAUAAAUACAUUCAGUACUUGUAAUUAAUUCAUUCACACGAAAGGUUUUCAUUUCAUUUUUCCUCUGCUUCUAUUCUGUCUACAUCAGAAAAUUGACAUGGUAUCAGAUUGAAAAUCAUUCUUGCUUCUGCAAAUUCAUCUUCUCAUCUCUAAAUCUUUGAAUUCAUGAAAUCUGCAUUACAAAAUUCUGCUCGAGAAUUUUUGUAGUUGUCUUCUUCGUCUUCUUUCAUUUCUUGCACUUUCUUGAAUAGAUUCCCGAAAUGGAUUCUACCAAUUCUGUCACUUCUUCUCGCUCUGUCAUAAAUCUCUCAGAUUAUUCCUCUAGUCCUUAUUAUCUACAUCCAAAUGACAAACCUGAUGCCCUCCUCGUAUCAGAAAUUUUUUUUGGUGAUAAUUACAUUGCAUGGAGUCGAUCAAUCACCAUGGCAUUGACUGUCAAGAACAAGGUGGCAUUCAUUAAUGGUUCGAUUGCUGCUACUCCUGCUGAUCAACUUGUUCUUCAUACUGCUUGGCUGCGUGUUAACAAUUUGAAAAUUGACACUUGAUGUUGACGAAAAGGAAAGAGAAGGCAGAGGGUAUUGUGAUUCAAGUCAUCACAAUGGGAUUGAGUCACACUUCAAGCGCCACAAUGUUGCUCCCAAACUUUCAGAGGAAGAGCGGGCUACUAGGCGGUAUGAGAUGCAAGUGGAUGCUGAACUGCAUGAAGAGCAAAGAUGGAAACGUUUGAGGAAGGCUGAGGAGGACGAUGGGUGAGAAACUACCCAUGCCAGCUUAUCUAGCGGCAGAAAUUUCUUGGAUGCUGCUCAGAAAAGUAUCUAUGGUGCUGAAAAAGGGGGAAGCUGGGUAGGUCUGCAGUUGAUUGCUGCCUAUCCUGAAUAGUUUUAGGUGAUAACUCCAGGUUUGCUUCUCCGCCUUGGCCCCCCUGCACAUGGGGUAUCUCUCAAGUAUUAGCUUUGAACCAUGUAUUGAAAUAUGAAUAGGGCGAAGUGAUAAUCGCAUUCUUUCACAAUUUACUUCUCCUUAGGGGCUAAUACCUUCCAGUAAUACUUGGCUUGAAAAUGAGGUGCCAAUUACUGACAUCUCCAAGUGUAAAUGUUAUAUAACACUCGCCAUGUGUGUGUUCUAUCACGUUUACAAAUUAAGGAUGGCAAUGAAAAUUCAACCACUUCUUAAGGAAUUGAUUGGUUUGUUCUGUAUC